rnacentral:lncRNA from 1 species
UACUAACUCAAAGGAUGUAUCACAGACACAAUGUACACAAUGUGAUAGAAGAAUAACCCUUUUAUUCAUUUAUAGUCAAAAUUAUAAAUUUGCCCUUAGAUCUGUACAGGAAUGUGUCAGCCGAUCUGACAUCUAGGGCACACAUCUAACAUUUAAUUCCAUAAGCUUAAUGCAUUAAUUAAGUCUUAGAUUCAUAAAUAAAACAUGUAAAUUAAAUCCUAGGCUUUC